UGCAAGUCGAACGGAAAGGCCCGCUUGCGGGUACUCGAGUGGCGAACGGGUGAGUAACACGUGGGCAACCUGCCCUCAGCUCUGGGAUAACUCCGGGAAACCGGUGCUAAUACUGGAUAUCGACUUCUGCCUCGCAUGGGGUGUUGUUGAAAGUUUUUCGGCUGGGGAUGGGCCCGCGGCCUAUCAGCUUGUUGGUGGGGUGAUGGCCUACCAAGGCGACGACGGGUAGCCGGCCUGAGAGGGCGACCGGCCACACUGGGACUGAGACACGGCCCAGACUUCUACGGAAGGCAGCAGUGGGGAAUAUUGCGCAAUGGGCGGAAGCCUGACGCAGCGACGCCGCGUGAGGGAUGACGGCCUUCGGGUUGUAAACCUCUUUCAGCUCUGACGAAGCGAGAGUGACGGUAGGAGCAGAAGAAGCGCCGGCCAACUACGUGCCAGCAGCCGCGGUAAUACGUAGGGUGCAAGCGUUGUCCGGAAUUAUUGGGCGUAAAGAGCUCGUAGGCGGUUUGUCGCGUCGAAUGUGAAAACCCGGGGCUCAACCCCGGGCCUGCAUUCGAUACGGGCAGACUAGAGUUCGGUAGGGGAGUCUGGAAUUCCUGGUGUAGCGGUGAAAUGCGCAGAUAUCAGGAGGAACACCGGUGGCGAAGGCGGGACUCUGGGCCGAUACUGACGCUGAGGAGCGAAAGCGUGGGGAGCAAACAGGAUUAGAUACCCUGGUAGUCCACGCCGUAAACGUUGGGCGCUAGGUGUGGGGUUCCUUCCACGAACUCCGUGCCGCAGCUAACGCAUUAAGCGCCCCGCCUGGGGAGUACGGCCGCAAGGCUAAAACUCAAAGGAAUUGACGGGGGACCCCCCCAAGCGGGAUGAUGUGGAUUAAUUCGAUGCAACGCGAAAACCUUACCUAC
rnacentral:rRNA from 1 species